rnacentral:rRNA from 1 species
AGUGAACGCUGGCGGUAGGCCUAACACAUGCAAGUCGAACGGCAGCACAGUAAGAGCUUGCUCUUACGGGUGGCGAGUGGCGGACGGGUGAGGAAUACAUCGGAAUCUACUUUUUCGUGGGGGAUAACGUAGGGAAACUUACGCUAAUACCGCAUACGACCUACGGGUGAAAGCAGGGGAUCUUCGGACCUUGCGCGAUUGAAUGAGCCGAUGUCGGAUUAGCUAGUUGGCGGGGUAAAGGCCCACCAAGGCGACGAUCCGUAGCUGGUCUGAGAGGAUGACCGGCAAAACUGGAAAGGAGAAACGGUCCAGCACCCUACGGGGGGCAGCAGGGGGGAAGAUUGGACAAGGGGCGCAAGCCUGAACCAGCCAUACCGGGGGGGGGAAGAAGGCCUUGGGGUUGUAAAGCCUUUUUGUGGGGAAAAAAAAGCAGGAGGUUAAUACCCCGCUGUUCUGACGGUACCCAAAGAAUAAGCACCGGAUAACUUCGU